UCCUAUGAUUCUGGUGCAAAGUGCUUAGCUC
rnacentral:piRNA from 1 species